rnacentral:snoRNA from 1 species
GUGCCUUUACUUGACAGACCUGAAGCAGUUACUGUCUUCUGUAAGGUUUCCAGUACUGAGGCAAGAAAAAGGUGUCUUGGUGCUUCCUGUCUGACUCACUGGGCAGCCAGGACCAAGUGGGGAAUAGAAGA